GGAGUUAGCCGGUGCUUCUUCUGUGAGUGAUGUCCUUCCUGCCGGCUAUUAACCCGCAGGCCUUCUUCCUCACUGAAAGUGCUUUACAACCCGAAGGCCUUCUUCACACACGCGGCAUGGCUGGAUCAGGGUUGCCCCCAUUGUCCAAUAUUCCCCACUGCUGCCUCCCGUAGGAGUCUGGGCCGUGUCUCAGUCCCAGUGUGGCUGAUCAUCCUCUCAGACCAGCUACGGAUCGUCGCCUUGGUGAGCCGUUACCUCACCAACCAGCUAAUCCGACAUAGGCUCAUCCGAUAGCGCGAGGCCCGAAGGUCCCCCGCUUUCCCCCGUAGGGCGUAUGCGGUAUUAGCCUGGGUUUCCCCAGGUUAUCCCCCACUACCGGGCAGAUUCCUAUGCAUUACUCACCCGUCCGCCGCUCGCCACCAGGGAGCAAGCUCCCCGUGCUGCCGCUCGACUUGCAUGUGUUAGGCCUGCCGCCAGCGUUCAAUCUGAGCCAGAAUCGAAACCCUCGUACGUACGUAGACGGGCGGGUCGGUCGGAACGGAACGGGCCGACUAGUAG
rnacentral:rRNA from 1 species